GACUCGCGCACAGGUGCUGCAUGGCUGUCGUCAGCUCGUGCCGUGAGGUGUUGGGUUAAGUCCCGCAACGAGCGCAACCCUCGCCGCUAGUUACGGUGUCUAGCGGGACUGCCGGGCGCAACCCGGAGGAAGGUGGGGAUGACGUCAAGUCAUCAUGCCCCUGAUGGCCUGGGCGACACACAUGCUACAAUGGCCGGGACAGUGGGCUGCGAACCCGCGAGGGGGAGCCAAUCCCAAAAACCCGGUCCCAGUUCGGAUCGCAGGCUGCAACUCGCCUGCGUGAAGCCGGAAUCGCUAGUAACCGCCGGUCAGCCACACGGCGGUGAAUACGUUCCCGGGUCUUGUACACACCGCCCGUCACGUCAUGGGAGCUGGCUCCACCCGAAGCCGGUGGCCCAACCCGAAAGGGAGGGAGCCGUCGAAGGUGGGGUCGGUGACUGGGACGAAGUCGUAACAAGGUAGCC
rnacentral:rRNA from 1 species